rnacentral:rRNA from 1 species
UACGUAGGGUGCGAGCGUUACUCGGAAUUACUGGGCGUAAAGUGUGCGCAGGCGGUUUCUCAAGUCAAGUGUGAAAGCCCCGGGCUUAACCUGGGAACUGCGCUUGAAACUACGGAACUCGAGUGUGGCAGAGGAAGGUGGAAUUCCACGUGUAGCGGUGAAAUGCGUAGAGAUGUGGAGGAACACCGAUGGCGAAGGCAGCCUUCUGGGCCAACACUGACGCUCAUGCACGAAAGCGUGGGGAGCAAACAGG